UGUUCAGCCGGCGUGGGUUUCGCUUCCCACGCGUUUUUUUAAGUUUUCCCGACUUAUUCUGUUUUUAAAAAAAUUAAGUAGCCAACAGUGGACCAGCAGAGCAAGAACUAUAGUAAUUUGUCAAAAACUUUGACGAUAUUUGCAGUAGUUGGAGACCACAACAGCUGGCUCCAGGUGAUUCACAAGGUGCUCCAAUUCCACGACAGUUCGUUAAAAAUGGAGAAUCCCACUAACAUAUUAGAUUUGCCAUUGGAGAUUUUGGACCGAAUUUUGGAUGAGCUAAGUUUUAAAGAUAGGCUAAAACUAGCCCAAGCUAAUCAGGUUUUGCAAUCGGCUUUUGCCUAUCACUGCCGCAAUGAAUAUAAAAAAAUUUCAUCUCGGACUUUAUCGCUGGACUUUAUCGGACUUCUUGAUGGUUUAUGGCCCAAACGUUGAUGAAAUAAAUGUUGUUGGCUUAGACGUUCAAUAUUUAUAAUUAAUCGAGCAACAUUGCUGCAACCUCAAGAUCAUAAGCGGGUUUUUACUUGAGUUUAAAGUAUGCUAAAUGUCACUCAAUGGAUUACUUUUACAAGUGGAUCGUUAGGCACUCAAACAAUUUGCAAAGCUUGAAAUUGACAGAAGAAUUAUUUGAAGAAAAUAAACUUCUUGACUUUCUAUCAAAGUGCGACAAAAUGUACAAACUUGAAAUUUCAGUAUCAGAUAGAACAAUUUCCUUCGAAUUUAUGAAUUCGUUAGUUAACAUACUAAGAGAAAAUGGCGUCACAUCAAAAAAUCCAUUCGAAAUUACCAUUUCGCAGAAUGAAUUUCUGAAUAUACAACGUAUGUUGGCUGAAAUACCAAAUUCCGAGAUGUGUAGAUGCGUUGAGGCCUAUAAUAUUUUGGAAAUGCUUGAAAUUGAUGUCGAUGGGAGUUUUAGCGACAUUAUUAA